UGUGGGUCAAGUAUUUGGACUGAGCACAACUGGGACAGCUUGUCUUUGCUCCAUAAGGUGAGAGGCGUCAGCUGCGAGACCUGAAUGUCGGGGCUGCCUCCACAGCCUGGAGCUGGAAUCUUCUGGAGGCUCAUUCUCAUACACUUUGCCUACGAGGAGGGACCUGAGCGUCCCAUCCAUCCAGUCAAGGAUGCAAGGCUUAGGCCAACCCCUGGCCCAAGUCAAUUUGCCACCAUCAGUAUCUCCCUGAUACUGGAGACAUCAGCUGACAUACCCCUACACCUUGACAUUGCUGGACACCAUGUGAGUGAUUUUUUUUCUUUCCCUCUGAAACCAAGAAUAAAGUGAAGGGGUAGAAAUCAAAGCACAGGAGAGGAAGCCAUGAGUCAAAACGGAAACUAAGGAAAAGGGGCAGAGACGUUGCUUGCAAGAAAAAAGGCAGCAAAGAAUGAAUGAAUAAAAUAUCGCAGUGAUGGGA